AAUAUUGGGACAUAUAAAAAAAGACAACUCUGUUCUGAAGAGUAGCUGUUGACAUUAUAGUUGCGCAGGAACUUUGUUGACUCUAGAGAACCUCGGGCAAAUCGCACAUCCCUGUGGCGACGACUUUGCAUGCGCAUGUCAUCCAUAUCAACUUUUGAUGCCAGUUUCUGCACCUACCAUGGUGACCACGGGUAACAGGGAAUCCGGGUUCCAUUCUGCACAGGGACCCUGAGAAACAGCUACCACAUGCAAGGAAGGCAGCAGGCGCGCAAAUGACCCACUCCCUACGCGGGAAGGUAGUGA